UACGUAGGUGGCAAGCGUUGUCCGGAUUUAUUGGGUUUAAAGGGUGCGUAGGCGGCCCUGUAAGUCAGUGCUGAAAUAUCCCGGCUUAACCGGGAGGGUGGCAUUGAUACUGCGGGGCUAGAGUAUGGGAGAGGGAAGUGGAAUUUCCGGUGUAGCGGUGAAAUGCGUAGAUAUCGGAAGGAACAUCAGUGGCGAAAGCGACUUCCUGGACCAAUACUGACGCUCAUGUGCGAAAGCGUGGGGAGCAAACAGG
rnacentral:rRNA from 1 species